rnacentral:rRNA from 1 species
AUGCGGAACAAUGUUUUGCAAUUGGAUUGAGAACAACGUACAAACCUUAUCGAUAAACAAUUGGAGGGCAAGUCUGGUGCCAGCAGCCGCGGUAAUUCCAGCUCCAAUAGCGUAUAUUAACGUUGUUGCAGUUAAAAAGCUCGUAGUUGAAAUGAAGGGUAGUUGUGUAAUGAAUACAUUCGUGUAUUUUGUUAUUCUACUACCCUCCUUCUAAAUUCGAUAUAUGAGUAUUAAUUUACUUGUAUAUGGUUUUAGACGUUUACUGUGAGAAAAUUAGAGUGUUCAAAGCAGGCAUUUGCUUGAAUAUAUUAGCAUGGAAUAAUCAUGUAUGAUUUUCAUGAUGUAUUUGAUUGGUUUGGUUCAUGAGAAUAAGAUUAAAAGGGACAGUUGGGGGUAUUCAUAUUCAAUAGUCAGAGGUGAAAUUCUCGGAUUUAUGGAAGAU